rnacentral:rRNA from 1 species
UACGUAGGUGGCAAGCGUUGUCCGGAUUUACUGGGCGUAAAGCGCGUGUAGGCGGUUUGCCAAGUCGGGUGUGAAAGCCUUGGGCUUAACCCAAGAAAUGCACUCGGUACUGGCAGACUAGAGGACCGGAGAGGAUAGUGGAAUUCCCAGUGUAGUGGUGAAAUACGUAGAGAUUGGGAAGAACACCAGUGGCGAAGGCGGCUAUCUGGACGGUUUCUGACGCUAAGACGCGAAAGCGUGGGGAGCAAACAGG